GUACGGGAGGCAGCAGAGGAGAAUCAUUCGCAAUGGGCGAAAGCCUGACGGUGCGACGCCGCGUGAGGGAUGAAGGCCUUCGGGUUGUAAACCUCUGUCAAGAGUAUGGAAUGCCGGGGAUGUUAACACCAUCUCCGGGUGACUAAGGCUCUAAAGGAAGCCACGGCUAACUACGUGCCAGCAGCCGCGGUAAUACGUAGGUGGCUAGCGUUACUCGGAAUCACUGGGCAUAAAGGGCGUGUAGGCGGACGCGUAAGUCCGGUGUAAAAGCCCCCGGCUCAACCGGGGAAGGUCAUUGGAUACUGCGUGUCUUGAGUGCGGAAGAGGAGAGUGGAACUCUUGGUGGAGCGGUGAAAUGCGUAGAUAUCAAGAGGAACGCCGGUGGCGAAAGCGGCUCUCUGGUCCGUUACUGACGCUGAGGCGCGAAAGCCAGGGGAGCAAACGGGAUUAGAUACCCCGGUAGG
rnacentral:rRNA from 1 species